UACGUAGGGUCCGAGCGUUGUCCGGAAUUAUUGGGCGUAAAGGGUGCGUAGGCGGCUUGGUCAGUCGGGUGUGAAAGCCCCGGGCUUAGCCUGGGAAGGGCAGUCGAUACUACUAGCUGGAGUGCCGGAGGGGAGAGUGGAAUUCCUGGUGUAGCGGUGAAGUGCGUAGAGAUCAGGAGGAAUACCGGUGGCGAAAGCGACUCUCUGGACGGCAACUGACGCUCAGGCACGAAAGGCGUGGGGAGCAAACGAGG
rnacentral:rRNA from 1 species